GCGCAGCAGGCGCGAAACCUCCGCAAUGCGGGAAACCGCGACGGGGGACCCCGAGUGCCGUGGCAACGCCACGGCUUUUCCGGAGUGUAAAAAGCUCCGGGAAUAAGGGCUGGGCAAGGCCGGUGGCAGCCGCCGCGGUAAUACCGGCGGCCCGAGUGGUGGCCGCUAUUAUUGGGCCUAAGCGUCCGUAGCCGGGCCCGUAAGUCCCUGGCGAAAUCCCACGGCUCAACCGUGGGGCUUGCUGGGGAUACUGCGGGUCUUGGGACCGGGAGAGGCGGGGGUACCCCGUGGGGUAGGGGUGAAAUCCUAUAAUCCCAGGGGGACCGCCAGUGGCGAAGGCGCCCCGCUGGAACGGGUCCGACGGUGAGGGACGAAGGCCAGGGGAGCAAACCGGAUUAGAUACCCCUGUAGU
rnacentral:rRNA from 1 species